AGAGUUUGAUCCUGGCUCAGAACGAACGCUGGCGGCGAGGGUAAGACAUGCAAGUCGAACGGGUUUAUUCGGGUAGCAAUACUUGGAUAAGCUAGUGGCGAACGGGUGCGUAACACGUGGGAAUCAACCCGGAAGAAUGGGAUAGCUCACCGAAAGGUGAAUUAAUACCGUAUGUGGUGGCAACACUAAAGGGGGCGUAAGCUCUCGCUUCCGGACGAGCCCGCGGCCUAUCAGCUUGUUGGUGAGGUAAAGGCUCACCAAGGCAACGACGGGUAGCCGGUCUGAGAGGACGGUCGGCCACACUGGGACUGAGACACGGCCCAGACACCUACGGGUGGCAGCAGUCGAGAAUCUUUCGCAAUGGGGGAAACCCUGACGGAGCGACGCCGCGUGGAGGAUGAAGGCCCUCGGGUUGUAAACUCCUGUCACCGUAGAAAAACGCGGUCCGGUUAAUACCCGUGAUCGUUGAUGGUAUACGGAGAGGAAGGGACGGCUAAAUCUGUGCCAGCAGCCGCGGUAAUACAGAUGUCCCGAGCGUUGUUCGGAUUUAUUGGGCGUAAAGGGUGUGUAGGAGGCAUGGUAAGUCAGCUGUGAAAUCUCUGCGCUCAACGUAGAAAUUGCAGCCGAUACUGCCAAGCUUGAGGAUCGGAAGGGCAAACGAAUUCUCGGUGUAGCAGUGAAAUGCGUAGAUAUCGAGAGGAACACCGGUGGCGUAGGCGGUUGCUGGACGAUACCUGACUCUGAAACACGAAAGCUAGGGGAGCGAACGGGAUUAGAUACUCCGGUAGUCCUAGCCGUAAACGGUGUGCAUUAGGUGUAGGAGGAUUCGACCCUUUCUGUGCCGUAGCUAACGCAUUAAAUGCACCGCCUGGGAAGUACGGUCGCAAGACUAAAACCUAAAGAAAUUGACGGGGGCCCGCACAAGCAGUGGAGUAUGUGGCUUAAUUCGAUGAUACGCGAAGAACCUUACCUGGGCUUGACAUGUAUUGCUAAUCGGCGGAAACGUCGUGAGUCUUCGGACGCCUUACACAGGUGCUGCAUGGCUGUCGUCAGCUCGUGUCGUGAGAUGCUUGGUUAAGUCCAGCAACGAGCGCAACCCCUAUGAUUAGUUGCCCUUCGGGGAUCUCUAGUCAGACUGCCCUGUGAAACGGGGAGGAAGGUGGGGAUGACGUCAAGUCAGUAUGGCCCUUACGCCCAGGGCUGCACACGUACUACAAUGCCUAGUACAGAGGGAAGCCAAACCGCGAGGUGGAGCUAAUCCCAUAAAACUAGGCUCAGUUCGGAUUGGAGGCUGCAACUCGCCUCCAUGAAGUUGGAAUUGCUAGUAAUGGCGCAUCAGCCACGGCGCCGUGAAUACGUUCCCGGGCCUUGUACACACCGCCCGUCACAUCAUGAAAGCCUGUUGAUCCCGAAGUAUGUGCGCCAACCUAUGGGGCAGCGUCCUAAGGAUUGACCGGUAAUUGGGAUGAAGUCGUAACAAGGUAGCCGUA
rnacentral:rRNA from 1 species